rnacentral:misc_RNA from 1 species
GAUGAAGAACGUAGUGAAAUGCGAUAAGUAAUGUGAAUUGCAGAAUUCAGUGAAUCAUCGUAUCUUUGAACGCACAUUGCGCCCGCCAGUAUUCUGGCGGGCAUGCCUGUUCGAGCGUCAUUACAACCCUCAGGCCCCCGGGCCUGGCGUUGGGGAUCGGCGGAGCCCCCCGUGGGCACACGCCGUCCCCCAAAUGCAGUGGCGGUCCCGCCGCAGCUUCCAUCGCGUAGUAGCUAACACCUCGCGACUGGAGAGCGGCGCGGCCACGCCGUAAAACACCCAACUCUUCUGAAGUUGACCUCGAAUCAGGUAGGAAUACCCGCUGAACUUAAGCAUAUCAAUAAGCGGAGGA